UACUCCUACGGGAGGCAGCAGUAAGGAAUAUUGGUCAAUGGGCGGAAGCCUGAACCAGCCAUGCCGCGUGCAGGAUGACUGCCCUAUGGGUUGUAAACUGCUUUUGUCCAGGAAUAAACCCAGAUACGAGUAUCUGGCUGAAUGUACUGAA
rnacentral:rRNA from 1 species